UUCCUCAUAUAAAACUGACCUCAUAUUCCACACCUCUAUACCUAAUGCAUCUCCAAAGCCUAUAAUUUUUUCUAUCAAUUAGCUCUCAUGUUGCGUUCUGUAUCUCUGUGUUUGUUGUUUCUUGCUUUAAGUUUGAAGUUCAUGAUCUAUAUCCGUUUUCGUUAUUGAGAAAAUUUUCUGUCCAUCACUGUUAUCUUUGGGGAAAGGAAUGUGAAAAGGUUUCAUUAUUCUGAAUAGCUUAAUUUUUGCAGCAAGGUGGUCUUCCUUUUGGGCAGAGGUGUGGCCAUGAUUUUUUAAAAGGAGCCCAUGAUCAAGUCAGCUAUCACGAUUUAAGAUGGAAUAGAGAUUGGGUAGAUCAUGGUCAUUUAAGGAGAUCGACUACACCUUUUAAUCUAGUGUUCAGGGUUCAUAUAUAAUAUGUCUGGUCUAUGGUAAGUAAAAUCAGAUCAGGCCGGUGUUGGCUAAAAAGGGAUAGCGCUGCUGGAUUUAGGCUCAUAUAUGGAAUAGUCUGCAUCACCUUGACUUUACACGUACCGGUUUCACUUGUUUUCAUCAGAUUUAUAAAAUAAUUGGCUCAACUGGUUGGAAAUAAAGUGACAUCUGAAUAGUGAAUGCUAAAUUUAAAUCAAAUGAUUCCUACAGUUUAUCUUGAAAUUUAUUACAGCUAAACGGCCAAAUGAUGUUCAUGACUUGGCUACGCGCCCAACAGAAACAAAGUGGAAAAGGGCUGUCUUGCAGCCUUCAGAGACCCACCAAUGGUUUAAUCAAGGCCAAUCCAGCUCUUCCCAGUCCCAUAGAGGCAUUUCUUGAUUAUCAACCAUCCUCAAAUUGGUAUCUCCUGUAGUCUCU